UACAGAGGGGGCAAGCGUUGUUCGGAAUUACUGGGCGUAAAGGGCGCGUAGGCGGCCUUCUAAGUCGAACGUGAAAUCCCCGGGCUCAACCCGGGAACUGCGUCCGAUACUGGAAGGCUUGAAUCCGGGAGAGGGAUGCGGAAUUCCAGGUGUAGCGGUGAAAUGCGUAGAUAUCAGGAGGAACACCGAUGGCGAAGGCAGGUCUCUGGGCCGAUACUGACGCUGAGGAGCGAAAGCGUGGGGAGCGAACAGG
rnacentral:rRNA from 1 species